rnacentral:rRNA from 1 species
AUUGAACGCUGGCGGCAGGCCUAACACAUGCAAGUCGAGCGAGCGGCGGACGGGUGAGUAAUGUAUGGGGACUGCCCGAUAGAGGGGGAUAACUACUGGAAACGGUGGCUAAUACCGCAUACUAUCGGAUAACCCAUAUGGGAUUAGCGAGUAGGUGGGGUAAAGGCUCACCUAGGCGACGAUCUCUAGCUGGUCUGAGAGGAUGAUCAGCCAAACUGGUACGGAGACCCGGCCCAGACUCCUACGGAGGCAGCAGUGGGGAAUAUUGGACAAUGGGCGCAAGCCGGAUGCAGCACUGCCGCUUGUAUGAAGAAGGCCUUAGGGUGGAAAAGUACUUUCAGCGGGGAGGCGUUACCCGCAGAAGAAGCACCGGCUAACUCCGUGCCAGCAGCCGCGGUAAUUC